AUUGAACGCUGGCGGCAGGCCUAACACAUGCAAGUCGAACGAGUGGCGGACGGGUGAGUAAUGUCUGGGAAACUGCCCGAUGGAGGGGGAUAACUACUGGAAACGGUAGCUAAUACCGCAUACCAUCGGAUGUGCCCAGAUGGGAUUAGCUUGUAGGGGAGGUAACGGCUCACCUAGGCGACGAGCCCUAGCUGGUCUGAGAGGAUGACACGCCAAGCUGGAAGUGAGACACGGUCCAGACUCCUACGGGAGGCAGAAGUGGGGAUUAUUGCACAAUGGGCGCGAGCCUGAUGCAGCCAUGCCGCGGGUAUGAAGAAGGCCUUCGGGUUGUAAAGUACUUUCAGCGUGGAGGCGUUACCCGCAGAAGAAGCCCCGGCUAACUCCGUGCCAGCAGCCGCGGUAAUUC
rnacentral:rRNA from 1 species